rnacentral:lncRNA from 1 species
AACAUAAUUUUAACCAAUACUUUUUUUUUUUUUACAGAUUUACAUAACUCUAGGAAGUGCUCUGCAUCUUCUGCAGAUUAAGAGUUUUUAACAAUUUGAGAUUUGUUUUCUCACUAAUGAGACUGGCAUGAUGAAGUCUUUGAAAUAACGGGAUAAUCCAGCAGUGUUUACAGAAGAUGGUUUUCUCUUUGAAGAUUUGACAUAUUAUUAGUAGGAUAUUUUUGCCAGAAGGUGGACAACAAAGAAAAGAAAAUCAAAUGACAGCUAAAAGUGAUAUCUCCCAUCUUCUGCAGUGCUGGGGAGAUGGGCUGGAGCUGAUUUAUCAGAUCUGUGCAAUGCUGCUUUCAUGUGAGCACUCAAAAUUUUUCUCCUGAUUUGCCACAUUAACAUACGGAAAACAGAAUAUAGGUGUGUGCCUUUCUUCAGUGAUAUACAAAUGCAAUUAACUUAGCAGCAAUAAAUGGUUGUCAAUAUAACA